GCGGUGGGGGGCGGCUCCGUCGCGGAACGGCGGCGUCUCGCAGCGGAGCGAUUGGAGGCUCGCUGCCCCGCACACGCUCGCUGAAGCUUCUAGCGCCCUUACCGGUCUGUGAGGCGGCCGCAGAAGGAAGUCUUUUUAGGUAUUGGCAUUUCGUUGGCCCCAACUCGCAUCGUUAUCUCCCGGUGGGUGUGAGCCCUGACUGAAGGCAGAUAAACCUUCACGGGGAGGAUUCCACCAUGCAUCCCUGCUCAGCUCUGGGGUAUCCUCACGAUACCAAUGACCACUGCUGCAUGUUAGUAAACCAGCAUAAGACUGCGGCUUCAACUACUCUUGGGCAGAAGCUGAUGGGCCGUGACAGAGGAGCGUUCCACAUCACACUGAAUCAGCAAAACAGGAGGAUUUCAUGAGGAGACCUCUCUAAAAUCACCUAAUUCCUAGGAUAUCCAAACUGCUGAUGCUUUUGUUCAAAUUUCCUUAGAGAAAUAAAAUAUGGAUAUUGCGUAA